CUGAAGACAACAGCACGAAAAAGUUGUGGCUCACGAACUUACAACUUUUGACGGCUUCAUCAUAAAUAAAACCUCACCAGACGACUAAGGACUCCGACAAACACCUGAACAGAGAGGACAACAUCUACGAAAUGGAGACGGUAAGAUUUCAUGACAAUAUUAUCAUACAAACUUGUGUUACUGUCGAGACUUUCGUGAUGGAUGCAUCGACAAGAAUUAAAUGUGUGCAUGGAUAUUUACAGUGUUUAUGACUUUAAUGUGACAGGCAUUAUCAAAAUUAACCGAAAAUAAGUGAACAUAGGCGUUUUUUUGUGUGUGUGUUACUGUCGAAACGUUCGAAUGGUUAGCUUAAAAGUGAUGCAUUGACAUCACAUGAAAGUCCUGCCCACCAUGUCAAAGACUCUGUGCUUAAGAGCAGAAAGCUCAUGUUAUUGUGCGAAAUCUCUCUAAAAGAUUUUUUUAUGUCUUCUGGGCUAUUUAAAGCCGUCAGUCUGAAACUUAUUUGACAGUUUCUCUUUAUACUAACCAAUGCUAUCAGGUGAAAACUAUAAACACAAGCUAUUUUCAUUCUUAUUACAGUAAAAGAGGCACAUUAAAGGAGUGAAAUGUGGUGUUAAAAUAAGGGACACCUUCAUAACUUUAAAGAAUGACAGUCAUCAUAAAAUUUAACAAAAUAAACUAAAAAGACAUAAUACUUAGACCUAUUUAUAAGUGCUCUAAUAGGCCUAAGUAACCAAAAAAAUCAUAUAAAUUACAUUUGAACCUAAUUAAAAAGUUACAAAAACAGACGAAAUUAAGUUAAAAGUAAUGUCUUAUGUACAGCUUUUAAAAUGAAGAGUUCGAUAAUGUUCCACUGAAAUAUGUUUUCAUGUUUUCAUGGAUCAAGUGUGUGUGUGUUUUUUUACCACAAUAUUUAAAAUUUCAAUUAUGGGAAAAAUUCACUAAGUGUAAUCGAAACACUGUCCUUUUGUGGACGUCAGUUUUUUAUCAAACUGAAAGCAGAGGAUUUUCUUAUUUAAUCUAAAGUCUUUUUCCCAAUAAAAUAAAAUGACUGAAAUAGACAUACCAAAAAAUAUAAAUUCUUAAUGGAGGGUGUUGCAUUGAUGUUAAUCUAUUUCUAUUGCACAAUUAACCUGCUAAUUAGAGACUAAAUUCAAAUUAAAAUGUAUUGACUGUCUCUUCUUGAUGAUACUGAUGUUACAGAUGCUUCCUUCAUGACCUUGACCACACAGUCAAAUGUUACAGCUUGUUUAAUUUAAAUGUCUGCGUUGUUUCUGUCUUCAGACCAACCAGACCAAUUUCAAAGAUGUGAAACCUUCCCCUAAAAAAUCAUUUCUGCAGAUUUCAGAUUUUAUAAUUUGUCGGUUUUUCUUUCUCAGGUCCGAGUGGAGCAGUACAGCCUCAUCCAGAACCAGGAUAAGUCCACUCCUAGGCUGUUACUGAGGAAGGUCCCACCGAUGGACGGCCCUCCAAGUUUCUCCUCCCCCAAGGUCAUCCAG